rnacentral:rRNA from 1 species
UUUAAUUGAAGAGUUUGAUCAUGGCUCAGAUUGAACGCUGGCGGCAGGCCUAACACAUGCAAGUCGAGCGGAAACGAAGAGGUGCUUGCACCUCUGGCGUCGAGCGGCGGACGGGUGAGUAAUGCUUGGGAAUAUGCCUUAUGGUGGGGGACAACAGUUGGAA